CGUACGGGCAACAGUGCCCGUACGCCCGCUGCGGUACCUGAUACGGCCGUAGUCGG
rfam:Streptomyces sp. CB02056 scaffold8, whole genome shotgun sequence.